rnacentral:rRNA from 1 species
CAACUUGAGAGUUUGAUCCUGGCUCAGAACGAACGCUGGCGGCAGGCCUAACACAUGCAAGUCGAGCGAGACCUUCGGGUCUAGCGGCGGACGGGU